rnacentral:piRNA from 1 species
UCUCAAGAUUGAUUUAUAUUU